rnacentral:rRNA from 1 species
GAUGAACGCUGGCGGCGUGCCUAAUACAUGCAAGUCGAGCGAACAGAUGAGGAGCUUGCUCCUCUGACGUUAGCGGCGGACGGGUGAGUAACACGUGUAUAACCUACCUAUAAGACUGGGAUAACUUCGGGAAACCGGAGCUAAUACCGGAUAAUAUAUUGAACCGCAUGGUUCAAUAGUGAAAUACGGUUUUUCUGUCUCUUAUAGAUGGAUCCGCGCCGCAUUAGAUAGUUGGUAAGGUAACGGCUUACCAAGGCAACGAUGCUUAGCCGACGUGAGAGGGGGAGCGGCGACAGGGGAAGAGAAAAAGGGAAGAGAGGAGGACGGGAGGAAGGAGAAGGGAAUAGGGGGGAAGGGGGGAAAGGAGGACGGAGAAAGGCGGAGGGAGAGAAGAAGGAGUGAGGAGCGGAAAAAUAGGUUAUGAGGGAAGAAAAAAAGUGUAAGAAAAAAAGAAGGUAAUGAGGGUAACAAAAAAGAAAGCAACGGCUAACUACGGG